UACGUAGGGGGCAAGCGUUGUCCGGAAUCAUUGGGCGUAAAGAGCGUGUAGGCGGCCCGGUAAGUCCGCCGUGAAAGUCCAGGGCUCAACCCUGGAAUGCCGGUGGAAACUGUCGGGCUGGAGUCCGGAAGAGGCGAGUGGAAUUCCUGGUGUAGCGGUGGAAUGCGCAGAUAUCAGGAGGAACACCAAUAGCGAAGGCAGCUCGCUGGGACGUUACUGACGCUGAGGCGCGAAAGCGUGGGGAGCAAACAGG
rnacentral:rRNA from 1 species